rnacentral:rRNA from 1 species
UCGAGGAUCUUCGGCAAUGGGGGCAACCCUGACCGAGCGACGCCGCGUGUGCGACGAAGGCCUUCGGGUUGUAAAGCACUGUCGAGGGUGAGAAAAGCCCGCAAGGGUUUGAUCUACCCCUGGAGGAAGCACGGGCUAAGUUCGUGCCAGCAGCCGCGGUAAGACGAACCGUGCGAACGUUGUUCGGAAUCACUGGGCUUAAAGGGCGCGUAGGCGGCCCGCCGCGUCCGGGGUGAAAUCCUCCCGCUCAACGGGAGAACGGCCUCGGAUACGGGCGGGCUGGAGGCGGGUAGGGGCACGCGGAACUGUGGGUGGAGCGGUGAAAUGCGUUGAGAUCCACAGGAACUCCGGUGGCGAAGGCGGCGUGCUGGACCCGUCCUGACGCUGAGGCGCGAAAGCCAGGGGAGCGAACGG